rnacentral:rRNA from 1 species
CCUACGGGGGGCUGCAGUGGGGAAUUUUACACAAUGGGGGAAACCCUGAUGUAGCGACACCGCGUGAACGAAGAAGCCUUUUGGGGUGUAAAGUUCUGUCGGCUGGAACGAAAAAAAUGACGGUACCAGCAAAGGAAGCAUCGGCUAACUACGUGCCAGCAGCCGCGGUAAGACGUAGGAUGCAAGCGUUGUCCGGAUUUAUUGGGCGUAAAGAGUUCGUAGGCGGUUAUUUAAGUCUGGUGUUAAAUACUGUGGCCCAACCACAGAACUGCAUUGGAUACUGGAUGACUUGAGUGCGGUAGAGGCGAGUGGAAUUCCCAGUGUAGCGGUGAAAUGCGUAGAUAUUGGGAAGAACACCAGUGGCGUAAGCGACUCGCUGGCCCGUAACUGACGCUGAGGAACGAAAGCCAGGGGAGCGAAUGGGAUUAGAUACCCGUGUAGUC